UCCUUAGUGGUGUAACGGCUAACAUCGCUGUCUUUCACACAGCAGCUCGGGGUUCGACUCCCCGCUAAGGAG
rnacentral:tRNA from 1 species